UUAUAUUCCGCCUCUCGGUUUGGUGCUCGACUUGCUAACGAAGAAUGUUGAAGACGAAGAUAAGAAGGCCACACCGAGAGAGAGAGGCUUUGCAGGCACCGCAAGGUAUCUGGAGACCCUUUUCACCCUCCCCACGAGAGGAAGGUUUAGGGUCGGUGGUCGACCGCCGAAGGAGGAGGAGGAGGCUGGGGUCCACCGGAGCGGAUAAGCACGCCGCGAGCCGGCGGCGAAGGGUAGGAGCGAAGGCGAUGGCCUGGUGGGACAAGGCCGUGGCUUUCCCCGUGAAGCGGGCCUGCGUCGCCGUCGCCGCCGCCGCCGCCGCCGCCCGGGUCAAGGCUCCAAACCCCAGUGGUGGAAUUCAGAAGCUUCACGAUGAUGUUCAGAUGUGUGGAUACCAGGAUGUGCAGGUCAUGUGGGAGAUGGUGAGGAGAUCAGAAAUGGAGUUAUCGAACAAGCGCAAAAGGUGCAAGAGACUGCUGUGGAGGCUACCGACUUGGUCGAAUCGAACAUCUUCCACUGAUCUCAUGGAUCCUCACUGAGAGAGUUUGGCAGUAGACUUGAGCAGGAUUCAGCUGAUACUAAUUGCAUCUGCCCCUCCUUUUCUACCACCAGUGAGAUGUAAGAAAUAAAAGUGUGAUAGUGAGCUUGAACAAACAUUAACUAGUAUAUUUCUCUCCCCUGUCUCACACAAUGAGAUACAAGAAUUGUGUACAUUAUCCAGAUCAUGUGUAUAUGUGAAUAUUACUAUCAGGAAUGGCACCCCAAAAUUAAAAGGAGGUGGAAAAUUGGUGCAAAA